rnacentral:lncRNA from 1 species
CUCCUUCUUCCUCACCAUCCCCAUGUUUGAACUCAACCCCACCCAUCCCUAAACCUCGUACGCUCCAGCUAGUUAUCAAAGGCGGCGUCAUGGGCAAUGGCCAGAAGCUGCCGGAGUUAAGUGUUGUCAGGAGGCCUGAGACGAGCAUAGGGCCGCUCGCGGUCCACGAUGAGCCCGAUGUAGCAACCGUGGCGCAGACAUCGCCAGAAAAAUUGCCUGAGACAACAAACAACAGUGGAAGCGAGACAGGAACCCAGAAAGAUGCAGAGAACACAGAAGGAGCUCUACGGCAAAAACAGAGAGGGACUUCCCAAGAGACAAAGAAUGAAGUAGUUGGACGACAUGAUGACAUUGCAAGAAUGCAGUUUGUCGCUGGAAACAACUUAGAAGAACAGUCUGAUGUUUUCAUUGCUGAUGCGCCAAAGGCAGAGAGUUUGAAUAGUCAAGAAAUUAUUCCAAACGAUGUCGAGCCCAAGUCUUGGACGUUGAUAGAGUGCAAAUUAACCCCACAGAUAGACUGUGUAGCCACACUACAGACAGAGAUAAAGGUGCCAGAAAGAGCUUUAACAGGCUGUGAGUUUUCUAAAGGACCAAGUGAAAAAAGUGAGAGUGUGACAGAAGGCAAAACAUACCUUGCAAGAGCACAUGUACCUCAGAGAAUAUCAUAUAGUGAGUUGAUGCCACAAUAUAUAGAUACAUUAGAAACUGUGGAUUCCAUGAAAGCUCCAACACACACUCCUGUUUCUUCCACACACUUAUCCAAAGACAGUGCUGGUGACAGCACACACACAUCAGUCAUAGACACACAAGGUAAUCCAGGUUUCACACCGGCACACCACACAGACAACACAACAGACAACAUACCCGCUGCAAAACAUAACACACAUGGCAGCUUUCAAGAACAAACUCCUAAAGCACGGGGAAGCACACACACACCUGAAGGACCCCUGCGUUUACGUCUUCCCGAAAAACUCAUGCCAGACUUACGUUCGAUGACGCCAGAGAGAGAAUCACGUUCACUCACAGCUCUCAUAUGCACUCCAACUCCAGACGGGUAUCUUCCACUUAAGCCCACCACCCCAGACUCACGAAUGCACACGCCGGAUCCGCGGUCAUACACUCCAGACUUUCAC